rnacentral:rRNA from 1 species
ACACUCCUGCGGGAGGCAGCAGUGGGGAAUAUUGCACAAUGGGCGCAAGCCUGAUGCAGCCAUGCCGCGUGUAUGAAGAAGGCCUUCGGGUUGUAAAGUACUUUCAGCGGGGAGGAAGGCAAUACGGUUAAUAACCGUGUUGAUUGACGUUACCCGCAGAAGAAGCACCGGCUAACUCCGUGCCAGCAGCCGCGGUAAUACGGAGGGUGCAAGCGUUAAUCGGAAUUACUGGGCGUAAAGCGCACGCAGGCGGUCUGUCAAGUCGGAUGUGAAAUCCCCGGGCUCAACCUGGGAACUGCAUUCGAAACUGGCAGGCUUGAGUCUUGUAGAGGGGGGUAGAAUUCCAGGUGUAGCGGUGAAAUGCGUAGAGAUCUGGAGGAAUACCGGUGGCGAAGGCGGCCCCCUGGACAAAGACUGACGCUCAGGUGCGAAAGCGUGGGGAGCAAACAGGAUUAGAAACCCGAGUAGUCCCA